AGGGCACCACCAGGAGUGGAGCCUGCGGCUUAAUUUGACUCAACACGGGGAAACUCACCCGGCCCGGACACCGUAAGGAUUGACAGAUUGAUAGCUCCUUCAUAAUUCGGCGGAUGGUGGUGCAUGGCCGUUCUUAGUUCGUGGAGCGAUUUGUCUGGUUUAUUCCGAUAACGAGCGAGACUCUAGCCUACUAAAUAGUUCGCACAUUGUCUCUGUGUGUGUGACUUCUUAGAGGGAUUUUCGGUGUUCAGCCGCACGAAAUUGAGCAAUAACAGGUCUGUGAUGCCCUUAGAUGUCCGGGGCUGCACGCGCGCUACACUGGCAAAAUCAGCGUGCUUGUCCUUCCCCGAAAGGGGUUGGUAAACCCUUGAAAAUUUGCCGUGAUUGGGAUUGGAAAUUGCAAUUAUUUUCCAUGAACGAGGAAUUCCAAGUAAGUGCGAGUCAUCAGCUCGCGUUGAUUACGUCCCUGCCCUGUGUACACACCGCCCGUCGCUGCCCGGGACUGAGCCAUUUCGAGAA
rnacentral:rRNA from 1 species